CCGUUAUGAAACGAAGCGACCGAUUGACAUGAUUUUCAUUUUUUCCCGCCUUACCGCACCGAUAGCUACCAAUGCUUUGAAUUUGCCAAAUUUCGAUCUAGGUAGCUGACUUCUUCAUUUAUAUUGCUUGAGAAAGUAUUAUGAGCUACUGAACUUAAAAAAUAAGGAAGAAUCACUGUGACCAACAGGUGCAAUUUUCGACUGAACAGGAAAUUGAAAAGUAAAGCCCUCUUUCGACAUACAAAGCCUAAACUCUACAAGUCUCGGUUUAGUAUCGGUUUAGUAACUUUUAAGUUUUGUUUUACAUAAAUAAUUAUAAUUAAUUUUAAGUUUUUUAAUUUUUGACAAUAAUUUGCAAAGGUAGCUGACUUCUUCAUUUAUAUUGCUUGAGAAAGUAUUAUGAGCUACUGAACUUAAAAAAUAAGGAAGAAUCACUGUGACCAACAGGUGCAAUUUUCGACUGAACAGGAAAUUGAAAAGUAAAGCCCUCUUUCGACAUACAAAGCCUAAACUCUACAAGUCUCAUCAUUCCCGUUGUACUAUAUGCUGAUGAGGGAUGGACAUUCGCAACAACUGAAAGAUAUUGCUAAAAAUGUGUGGUGCUUUGUAGCGAAUACCACGGUCAAUAGAUAGUUCAACGAUACAAGAGACAAUGUCUACGCUGGCUGGUCAUGUUGUUGGAAUGGAUAAGAACAAACCAGCUUUAAAAGUAUUCUAUGCAGUACCCGCCGGUGGAAGCAGAGGAAGAGAAAGUCCUCAACUCCGUUGGAGAGAUCAGAAGGAAAAGGACUUGGCUGCACUUGGUAUCUCCUAUUGGCGCCAAAUACCAAAAAGAAGAAAUAACUGCCGCACUUUAGUUAACUCGCCUUUGAUAAGCGGUGUUUACGCCUGCAAUAAGAAGAAUAAUAUUACAUUUUCCCUUUUUUAUUUCUUUAUUGUAAAAUUUUCCCGAAAUAUUUCACAUGUUUCUAUUAAAAAUGAGCUGUAUCAAAAAUAUAUGUAAUUUAACGAUUUAUAAAAGUGCUAACUCCAAAACAAAUUGGAAUAAAUCGACUGAGCACAAGUACAUUUAAUUGCUGGUAAAAUUUA